AGAGUUUGAUCCUGGCUCAGGAUGAACGCUAGCGGCAGGCUUAACACAUGCAAGUCGAAGGGCAUCGGGAGGGAAGCUUGCUUUCCUUGCCGGCGACCGGCGCACGGGUGAGUAACACGUAUGCAACCUGCCCUCUUCAGGGGGACAACCUUCCGAAAGGGAGGCUAAUCCCGCGUAUAUCGGUUUCGGGCAUCCGAGAUCGAGGAAAGAUUCAUCGGAAGAGGAUGGGCAUGCGGCGCAUUAGCUAGACGGCGGGGUAACGGCCCACCGUGGCGACGAUGCGUAGGGGUUCUGAGAGGAAGGUCCCCCACACUGGUACUGAGACACGGACCAGACUCCUACGGGAGGCAGCAGUGAGGAAUAUUGGUCAAUGGGAGAGAUCCUGAACCAGCCAAGCCGCGUGAGGGAAGACGGCCCUAUGGGUUGUAAACCUCUUUUGUCGGAGAACAAAACCCGGGACGAGUCCCGGACUGCGUGUAUCCGAAGAAAAAGCAUCGGCUAACUCCGUGCCAGCAGCCGCGGUAAUACGGAGGAUGCGAGCGUUAUCCGGAUUUAUUGGGUUUAAAGGGUGCGUAGGCGGUCCGUUAAGUCAGCGGUAAAAUUGCGGGGCUCAACCCCGUCGAGCCGUUGAAACUGGCAGACUUGAGUUGGCGAGAAGUACGCGGAAUGCGCGGUGUAGCGGUGAAAUGCAUAGAUAUCGCGCAGAACUCCGAUUGCGAAGGCAGCGUACCGGCGCCAGACUGACGCUGAGGCACGAAAGCGUGGGGAUCGAACAGGAUUAGAUACCCUGGUAGUCCACGCAGUAAACGAUGAAUGCUGGUUGUCCGGGUCGAAUGAGACCUGGGCGGCGAAGCGAAAGCGAUAAGCAUUCCACCUGGGGAGUACGCCGGCAACGGUGAAACUCAAAGGAAUUGACGGGGGCCCGCACAAGCGGAGGAACAUGUGGUUUAAUUCGAUGAUACGCGAGGAACCUUACCCGGGCUCAAACGGGAGUGGAAUGGACCAGAGACGGUUCAGCCUACGGGCCGCUUCCGAGGUGCUGCAUGGUUGUCGUCAGCUCGUGCCGUGAGGUGUCGGCUUAAGUGCCAUAACGAGCGCAACCCCCGCCGGCAGUUGCUAACGGGCAAUGCCGAGGACUCUGCCGGGACUGCCGCCGCAAGGCGUGAGGAAGGCGGGGAUGACGUCAAAUCAGCACGGCCCUUACGUCCGGGGCGACACACGUGUUACAAUGGGCGGUACAGCGGGAAGCCAGGCGGCGACGCCGAGCGGAACCCGAAAGCCGUUCUCAGUUCGGAUCGGAGUCUGCAACCCGACUCCGUGAAGCUGGAUUCGCUAGUAAUCGCGCAUCAGCCAUGGCGCGGUGAAUACGUUCCCGGGCCUUGCACACACCGCCCGUCA
rnacentral:rRNA from 1 species